CCCGCAUAGUCUCUCCCCCUACCCUGCGUGACCACUGCCCGAACCGAACCGCCUGAGCUGAGCAAACUGACCAGCUGUCAGUCAAGUUAAACUGUUUGCAGCCAGUAGGCUGCAGGGAAGAAGGAGGCGGGAUUCCUGUGUUCGCUCAGAGAGACUGUGAAGCAUAAGGAAGACAGGCUGGAGGAGCUGCCCACACCUGUGCCUGUCACCAGAGCGACCAGAGCCAUCUGCGCUGAGUGGAGAAGACGCCGCAGAAGCGACAAGGACAUCCAACCUUCAGUGGACCGGGACCCUGCAGCAAGGCAGGAGACUGACCAGCGACGGGAGCACCGGCAUCACGGAGGACACCCACUUACCGGAGCAAGGACCCGCCGAAGACCCCGGCUGGCUUAAAGAAGAUGGCUCGGAACAGCGGGGAGGACGGUGCACAUCGGGAUCCUGCAGCAGGAGAGAAGAUCCCCCUUCGGAGCGCAGCAGACCACACUGAAAAGGGUGCAUUCCCGGUGCGGUGUUCUGCAUCCCGGGUGGCGCCGAAGAUGUGGAGUGUCUGAGGUGGCAGAAGCGCCGCAGCUUGGGGUGAGAAACCGCUGCAACCCUUCCGCUGCUAAACUCUGCAAUUAGUCAAUUAAGGAGGCCCUCUUUAUUGAACAAGGUGAAUGGAAAGAUCGCCUCCCCAUGUUCGAACUCCGCAUUAUCCAGGAAUGUUAGAAACAAGGAUUUAUGUCCUCCUAAAUUCCUAGCUCGCCUAAGAAUAUGCCAUAGACGAUAGACUGUCCACAGAAGAGGGUUGUCUUUUAAUUCUUGGUCUAAUUCCACCUCUACACCGUGAAGGAAAGAUAUCAGGUUUCUGGACGAAUUGUGCCACCGGUUGUGUAUUAGCAUAAAUGUCACUAUUAUUUAACCAGUCUCUUAGAAAUCUCAAUAAAGAAGCA